UCCUACGGGAGGCAGCAGUGAGGAAUAUUGGUCAAUGGACGCAAGUCUGAACCAGCCAUGCCGCGUGCAGGAAGAAUGCCCUAUGGGUUGUAAACUGCUUUUAUUUGGGAAUAAACCUCUUUACGUGUAGAGAGCUGAAGGUACCAAACGAAUAAGCACCGGCUAACUCCGUGCCAGCAGCCGCGGUAAUA
rnacentral:rRNA from 1 species